rnacentral:rRNA from 1 species
CCGUUAUAACCGGCGAUACCCGAAUGGGGAAACCCAGUGUGAUUCGUCACACUAUCAUUAACUGAAUCCAUAGGUUAAUGAGGCGAACCGGGGGAACUGAAACAUCUAAGUACCCCGAGGAAAAGAAAUCAACCGAGAUUCCCCCAGUAGCGGCGAGCGAACGGGGAGGAGCCCAGAGCCUGAAUCAGCAUGUGUGUUAGUGGAAGCGUCUGGAAAGGCGCGCGAUACAGGGUGACAGCCCCGUACACAAAAGCGCAUGUGCUGUGAGCUCGAUGAGUAGGGCGGGACACGUGGUAUCCUGUCUGAAUAUGGGGGGACCAUCCUCCAAGGCUAAAUACUCCUGACUGACCGAUAGUGAACCAGUACCGUGAGGGAAAGGCGAAAAGAACCCCGGCGAGGGGAGUGAAAAAGAACCUGAAACCGUGUACGUACAAGCAGUGGGAGCACAGGUUUACCUGUGUGACUGCGUACCUUUUGUAUAAUGGGUCAGCGACUUAUAUUCUGUAGCAAGGUUAACCGAAUAGGGGAGC